GGGGAAUUUUGGACAAUGGGGGCAACCCUGAUCCAGCCAUGCCGCGUGAGUGAAGAAGGCCUUCGGGUUGUAAAGCUCUUUCGGACGGAAAGAAAUCGCCGCCUCUAACAUAGGCGGUGGAUGACGGUACCGUAAGAAGAAGCACCGGCUAACUACGUGCCAGCAGCCGCGGUAAUACGUAGGGUGCGAGCGUUAAUCGGAAUUACUGGGCGUAAAGCGUGCGCAGGCGGUUUGGUAAGACAGGUGUGAAAUCCCCGGGCUUAACCUGGGAACUGCGCUUGUGACUGCCAGGCUAGAGUACGGCAGAGGGGGGUGGAAUUCCACGUGUAGCAGUGAAAUGCGUAGAGAUGUGGAGGAACACCGAUGGCGAAGGCAGCCCCCUGGGCCUGUACUGACGCUCAUGCACGAAAGCGUGGGGAGCAAACA
rnacentral:rRNA from 1 species